AUUGAACGCUGGCGGCAGGCCUAACACAUGCAAGUCGAGCGGUAGCACAGAGAGCUUGCUCUCGGGUGACGAGCGGCGGACGGGUGAGUAAUGUCUGGGAAACUGCCUGAUGGAGGGGGAUAACUACUGGAAACGGUAGCUAAUACCGCAUAACGUCGCAAGACCAAAGUGGGGGACCUUCGGGCCUCAUGCCAUCAGAUGUGCCCAGAUGGGAUUAGCUAGUAGGUGGGGUAAUGGCUCACCUAGGCGACGAUCCCUAGCUGGUCUGAGAGGAUGACCAGCCACACUGGAACUGAGACACGGUCCAGACUCCUACGGGAGGCAGCAGUGGGGAAUAUUGCACAAUGGGCGCAAGCCUGAUGCAGCCAUGCCGCGUGUGUGGAGAAGGCCUUCGGGUUGUAAAGCACUUUCAGCGGGGAGGAAGGCGAUAAGGUUAAUAACCUCAUCGAUUGACGUUACCCGCAGAAGAAGCACCGGCUAACUCCGUGCCAGCAGCCGCGGUAAUACGGAGGGUGCAAGCGUUAAUCGGAAUUACUGGGCGUAAAGCGCACGCAGGCGGUCUGUCAAGUCGGAUGUGAAAUCCCCGGGCUCAACCUGGGAACUGCAUUCGAAACUGGCAGGCUAGAGUCUUGUAGAGGGGGGUAGAAUUCCAGGUGUAGCGGUGAAAUGCGUAGAGAUCUGGAGGAAUACCGGUGGCGAAGGCGGCCCCCUGGACAAAGACUGACGCUCAGGUGCGAAAGCGUGGGGAGCAAACAGGAUUAGAUACCCUGGUAGUCCACGCCGUAAACGAUGUCGAUUUGGAGGUUGUGCCCUUGAGGCGUGGCUUCCGGAGCUAACGCGUUAAAUCGACCGCCUGGGGAGUACGGCCGCAAGGUUAAAACUCAAAUGAAUUGACGGGGGCCCGCACAAGCGGUGGAGCAUGUGGUUUAAUUCGAUGCAACGCGAAGAACCUUACCUGGUCUUGACAUCCACAGAACUUUCCAGAGAUGGAUUGGUGCCUUCGGGAACUGUGAGACAGGUGCUGCAUGGCUGUCGUCAGCUCGUGUUGUGAAAUGUUGGGUUAAGUCCCGCAACGAGCGCAACCCUUAUCCUUUGUUGCCAGCGGUCCGGCCGGGAACUCAAAGGAGACUGCCAGUGAUAAACUGGAGGAAGGUGGGGAUGACGUCAAGUCAUCAUGGCCCUUACGACCAGGGCUACACACGUGCUACAAUGGCAUAUACAAAGAGAAGCGACCUCGCGAGAGCAAGCGGACCUCAUAAAGUAUGUCGUAGUCCGGAUUGGAGUCUGCAACUCGACUCCAUGAAGUCGGAAUCGCUAGUAAUCGUAGAUCAGAAUGCUACGGUGAAUACGUUCCCGGGCCU
rnacentral:rRNA from 1 species